rnacentral:rRNA from 1 species
GAUGAACGCUGACAGAAUGCUUAACACAUGCAAGUCAACUUGAACUUCGGUUUGGGUGGCGGACGGGUGAGUAACGCGUAAAGAACUUGCCUCACAGCUAGGGACAACAUUUGGAAACGAAUGCUAAUACCUGAUAUUAUGAUUUUAGGGCAUCCUAGAAUUAUGAAAGCUAUAUGCGCUGUGAGAGAGCUUUGCGUCCCAUUAGCUAGUUGGAGAGGUAGCGGCUCACCAAGGCGAUGAUGGGUAGCCGGCCUGAGAGGGUGAACGGCCACAAGGGGACUGAGACACGGCCCUUACUCCUACGGGAGGCAGCAGUGGGGAAUAUUAGACAAUGGACCAAGAGUCUGAUCCAGCAAUUCUGCGUGCACGAUGAAGUUUUUCGGAAUGUAAAGUGCUUUCAGUUGGGAAGAAAAAAAUGACGGUACCAACAGAAGAAGUGACGGCUAAAUACGUG